ACUCUGGUUUCUCUUCAGAUCGUAUAAAUCUUUCAACUUUUACCAAAGAUUUUCCGUGGAGAGGAGCACUCAGCUUAAAUGGAUUUUUUGUGGCCCUGCUUUAGUGGGGC